rnacentral:rRNA from 1 species
GACGAACGCUGGCGGCGUGCUUAACACAUGCAAGUCGAACGGAAAGGCCUUUUCGGAGGUACUCGAGUGGCGAACGGGUGAGUAACACGUGGGUGAUCUGCCCUGCACUCUGGGAUAAGCCUGGGAAACUGGGUCUAAUACCGGAUAGGACCGCACUUUAGUGUGUGUGGUGGAAAGUUUUUUCGGUGUAGGAUGAGCCCGCGGCCUAUCAGCUUGUUGGUGGGGUAAUGGCCUACCAAGGCGGCGACGGGUAGCCGGACUGAGAGGUUGGUCGGCCACAUUGGGACUGAGAGACGGCCCAGACUCCGACGGGAGGCAGCAGUGGGGAAUAUUGCACAAUGGGCGCAAGCCUGAUGCAGCGACGCCGCGGGGGGGAUGACGGCCUUCGGGUUGUAAACUCCUUUCGCCAGGGACGAAGCGUUUUGUGACGGUACCUGGAGAAGAAGCACCGGCUAACUACGUG